rnacentral:tRNA from 1 species
GCUUUGUAUUUUAUGUUAGAAUUUAAAAUUGCAAAUUUUAAGGAGAUUUUUCUAAAGCU